rnacentral:rRNA from 1 species
UACGUAGGGAGCAAGCGUUGUCCGGAAUCAUUGGGCGUAAAGCGCGCGUAGGUGGUCAUGUAAGUCCGCUGUGAAAGUCAAAGGCUCAACCUUUGAAAGCCGGUGGAUACUGCAUGACUAGAGUACGGAAGAGGCGAGUGGAAUUCCUGGUGUAGCGGUGGAAUGCGCAGAUAUCAGGAGGAACACCAAUAGCGAAGGCAGCUCGCUGGGACGUUACUGACACUGAGGCGCGAAAGCGUGGGGAGCGAACAGG